rnacentral:tRNA from 1 species
GCCGAGGUGGCACAACCUGGUACUGCGCUGGAUUGCUAAUUCAGUGUCCUAACGGAUUUGUGGGUUCAAAUCCCACCCUCGGCG